UACGUAGGGUGCAAGCGUUAAUCGGAAUUACUGGGCGUAAAGCGUGCGCAGGCGGUUAUGUAAGACAGAUGUGAAAUGCCCGGGCUUAACCUGGGAACUGCAUUUGUGACUGCAUGGCUAGAGUUUGGCAGAGGGGGGUGAGAAUUCCACGUGUAGCAGUGAAAUGCGUAGAUAUGUGGAGGAACACCGAUGGCGAAGGCA
rnacentral:rRNA from 1 species